AGGUUGCUAACUCAACGGUAGAGUACUCGUCGACUAGGGGGUUGGGAUGGGAGUCCAACCCGGUCCAGUAUA
rnacentral:tRNA from 1 species